rnacentral:lncRNA from 1 species
GUCAGAGAAGACUCUCAAGGAGGAGACACCAGCUGGGUAGCCUCAAGCAAGAGCAUCUCAGGCAGACACAUGACAGCAAGUUUGGAGGCAGCCUGGUGAGCAGCCAAGAGCAGCAGUGGUUACGCCUAGGGAAGAGCAUGAGUUAGAACAUCAGCAUUACUUCUUUCCAGCCAUGGGAGCUUGGGCUGAAUUAACAGUCAAAAUGAAGCAGGAUAAUUGGAGACGGAGCCAUGCAGCCGAUCAUGCCAUCCUUGGAAUUAUUGGGCACACCAUCAUCUCUUGCUUGGAUUCAGGAUCUUGGCAUUGCAUUCUUACAGAAAAGCCUCUUUGCAGUCAACAUCCACAGAAAAGAAAUAGAAGCAAUUGAUCUGCAAGGACCUGCCUUUGAAAUAUUGACACAUUGAGGAAGGCUGACACAUGAUGAGAAGAGUCAGUGGUCCUGAGGUACAGUACUUAAGAUAACCCUGUGAAGGCUGAGAUUGAUAUUUGAAAUUCACAACUGAUCUUGGAGCCUGGUACAGCAGUCAUGGAUUUGUUCAUGUGUGGAUGUGAUGGAACUGAAGUCGCUAGGUUCAUGCUACCUGGAACAUGAGACUGACAAAUAGAGGAGCACUGAGUCAAAUGAAUCUCGGAGAAAUGGAGCUGGAAGAAAACUGGAGUAAGCCUGUCCCUGAAAGGGCACUACAUUUGGAUAUCCAGCAGUGGGACUCAAUAUUUUUUCUUGUUGUUUAAUCUCAUUUCUGUUACUUGCAGCCAAAGGCUCUUAAUGAGAAAAUGGCUCUACCUAGUUUUCUGAAAUUGCCUCAGUCUCUCCACUCUUCCCUAUUACAAAGGUCAUCUCUUUAAUUCACAUCCAAUAACUGAUAGUCUCUUGACUAAUCUACAUCCUCUCAUUCUCUCCUAAUUCACCUUUCAUACUGUUGCCAGGUGACUUUUCCUAAAAGACAACUUUCAUGAUGUCACUCUACUUCAUAAAUUCUUAUAAUGGUUUCUUUUUGCUUUUAGUCCAAACUCCUCAGGUUCGUUUUCAAGGCUUUUCAUAAUUGAAUUUCUUUUAUAUACCUAAGAUGAUUUCUCUGUGUUCCCAAAUGUACAAUUGACAGUCCUUCCUCCUGAUGUUCUCUCCAGUAGGAAAUGUUUGCUCUAUGUAAAUUCAGUAUAGCUUUUAGUCUCUAUUCAAGUUCUACCUUCUUCAUAAACUUCUCCUGAAUAGAAUCAGCCUAUAACCAUUUAAACUGUCUUUAUUAGGUGCACACUAUGUGCCAGGUACUCAACAAGGCAGUGGAACUAUGAAGACAGAUAAUCACAGUCCCUCUUGCCUCUGGGAGCAGGCAGUUGAAUGCAAUGCUUUUUAAAGUUUUAAGUAACGUGGUCAUGCAAAAUCUUAUAGAUAUACAUUUGAAUGUACAGAGUUUAAUUACCAAGCUAGUGAG